rnacentral:rRNA from 1 species
UACGGAGGGGGCUAGCGUUGUCCGGAUUUAUUGGGCGGAAAGAGCUCGUAGGCGGUUUCGUAAGUCGGGUGUGAAAACUUCAGGCUCAACCUGGAGACGCCACCCGAAACCGCGAUGACUAGAGUCCGGUAGGGGAGUGUGGAAUUCCUGGUGUAGCGGUGAAAUGCGCAGAUAUCAGGAGGAACACCAACGGCGAAGGCAGCACUCUGGGCCGGAACUGACGCUGAGGAGCGAAAGCGUGGGUAGCGAACAGG